AGUGAACGCUGGCGGUAGGCCUAACACAUGCAAGUCGAACGGCAGCACAGUAAUAGCUUGCUCUUACGGGUGGCGAGUGGCGGACGGGUGAGGAAUACAUCGGCAUCUACUUUUUCGUGGGGGAUAACGUAGGGAAACUUACGCUAAUACCGCAUACGACCUACGGGUGAAAGCAGGGGAUCUUCGGACCUUGCGCGAUUCAAUGAGCCGAUGUCGGAUUAGCUAGUUGGCGGGGUAAAGGCCCACCAAGGCGACGAUCCGUAGCUGGUCUGAGAGGAUGAUCAGCCACACUGGAACUGAGACACGGUCCAGACUCCUACGGGAGGCAGCAGUGGGGAAUAUUGGACAAUGGGCGCAAGCCUGAUCCAGCCAUGCCGCGUGGGUGAAGAAGGCCUUCGGGUUGUAAAGCCCUUUUGUUGGGAAAGAAAAGCAGCAGGUUAAUACCCCGCUGUGCUGACGGUACCCAAAGAAUAAGCACCGGCUAACUUCGUG
rnacentral:rRNA from 1 species